rnacentral:rRNA from 1 species
AUGUAUGCAGGUACUGAUCGGUCAAGGUGGGUUCUACACGUACGUGUGGCCAAGAGCCCAAGACUACGUCAAGGUUCAGUGGACGGCUCACCUAGCAAUCCUGCAUCGACGUCGUCCUACACUACAUCUGCAUCAAGCCGGCAAACCUGCACCGUCGCCCACCACAAUCUUCGAGCCACGUCCAUAACCGCUGCACCAAGCUAUCUUCGCCGAGCGAUCUACACCGACCCACGCCACAUCAUCGAGCUGCCGGUGUGGAGAGAGAUGCAAGUUUUCAUCGACUUCUCCGGCGCGACACGGCAUCGACACAUCGUUGCCGUGAGGGGCGCCUUCAAGCGACAUCAUCGUCAACACGCGGUUGCAACGCCAUAG